CGCCUGGUACCGGCAAGGCUUUUUUUUUUGCAACUGAUGGAAAAGUUAGGUGAAAGGGUGGGGUGGGGGGGCGCAGGUCUUCCUCAUCUGGAAAAAAAAGUGGGUCGCGCUUUUUUUUUGUUUUAGUGGGGGAAGAAAAAGCCAGCGUUUCCUCCUCCUUUCUCCGCAAGUUUCUCUAUUUUUUCCCCUGGUCCACUUGGGAAUCUUUACAGCCCCAAAGCCGGGAUCAGCUCUGGAUAAGGCGCCGUGGAAACUUGGCUGUUCCAGCUCCUUCUAGGAGGCAAGAGAAAAGCUCACUCCUAGCGCGCAACAGGUUCCAGGACUGCGCUUAGACGUACCCUUUUCCGUCUGAAAACCUCCGCGUGAAUUUGAGAAUUCUGAGUCAGGAGCGUGGUGAGGGAUUUCUCCAUCUCAGUUGAGCUGUUACAAUGGCGUUUCCUUUAGAAAGAAAAUAAUCUUAUUCUUGACAUGAACUCCCACACGGUGACUGACAUCAAACCUGUUCUGCUCUCGGCUGAUUUCCACAAGACAGCUGCGCGGAGCAACACAGAGACAACUUGAUCUUAACCGCUGACGGGGAGGGUUAUUUGCAGUAGCCAAGAGCACUGUGUUGGAAGGGACCGCGGAGCCAGCCAAAUAAAACACAGCAGCAACAAAAUCAUUAUGGGCCAGUCCUUGAUAGAAAAGGCCGCAGAUUCAGUCGGUAAGAUAAAGCAACUUCUGGCUGGUUUCAAUAUAUCCAUCAAUAAUUGCUAAAACAGGAGUCACGUGGGAGAGAACACCGUAGGCUUAAGCCUUUGCUCAAGAGACACAUAUUAUGGACGCUCAAAUAUUAACAUUGCACUCUUAAAAAAAGAGAAACAAAAACCACAAGCGUUGUUUAAUAGGAGGAGGAAAGAAGAGGCUACGCCCUGGGAAUGAAUGGCAGGCAGCAUUGCUGAAAUCAGAGGCUGUUCAGAUGCUAUUGGGACUCCAGCUCCCAUCACCCUGAUCACUGACCUUGCUGGCCAGAACCUGAUGGGCGUAGAGGUCAAACCACAUCUGGAGGGCCACAGAUUCCCCAUCCCUGGUUUAAACCAUACCUGUUCGCAGGAAGGACCGGAAGAAAGCAAAACACGGCAAUCCACUUCUCCAAAUUUAGUGUCCUAUUUCCAGGGAUGAAAGAUGGACCAUAAAGAAGGCUGAUCGCCGAAGAAUUGAUGCU